rnacentral:rRNA from 1 species
CCUGGCUCAGGACGAACGCUGGCGGCGCGCCUAACACAUGCAAGUCGAACGAGAGAGAAGGAGCUUGCUUCUUCGAUCGAGUGGCGAACGGGUGAGUAACGCGUGAGGAACCUGCCUCAAAGAGGGGGACAACAGUUGGAAACGACUGCUAAUACCGCAUAAGCCCACGGGUCGGCAUCGACCAGAGGGAAAAGGAGUGAUCCGCUUUGAGAUGGCCUCGCGUCCGAUUAGCUAGUUGGUGAGGUAACGGCCCACCAAGGCGACGAUCGGUAGCCGGACUGAGAGGUUGAACGGCCACAUUGGGACUGAGACACGGCCCAGACUCCUACGGGAGGCAGCAGUGGGGAAUAUUGCACAAUGGGGGGAAACCCUGAUGCAGCGACGCCGCGUGGAGGAAGAAGGUCUUCGGAUUGUAAACUCCUGUUGUUGAGGAAGAUAAUGACGGUACUCAACAAGGAAGUGACGGCUAACUACGUGCCAGCAGCCGCGGUAAAACGUAGGUCACAAGCGUUGUCCGGAAUUACUGGGUGUAAAGGGAGCGCAGGCGGGAAGACAAGUUGGAAGUGAAAUCUAUGGGCUCAACCCAUAAACUGCUUUCAAAACUGUUUUUCUUGAGUAGUGCAGAGGUAGGCGGAAUUCCCGGUGUAGCGGUGGAAUGCGUAGAUAUCGGGAGGAACACCAGUGGCGAAGGCGGCCUACUGGGCACCAACUGACGCUGAGGCUCGAAAGUGUGGGUAGCAAACAGGAUUAGAUACCCUGGUAGUCCACACCGUAAACGAUGAUUACUAGGUGUUGGAGGAUUGACCCCUUCAGUGCCGCAGUUAACACAAUAAGUAAUCCACCUGGGGAGUACGACCGCAAGGUUGAAACUCAAAGGAAUUGACGGGGGCCCGCACAAGCAGUGGAGUAUGUGGUUUAAUUCGACGCAACGCGAAGAACCUUACCAAGUCUUGACAUCCCUUGACGAACAUAGAAAUAUGUUUUCUCUUCGGAGCAAGGAGACAGGUGGUGCAUGGUUGUCGUCAGCUCGUGUCGUGAGAUGUUGGGUUAAGUCCCGCAACGAGCGCAACCCUUAUGGUCAGUUACUACGCAAGAGGACUCUGGCCAGACUGCCGUUGACAAAACGGAGGAAGGUGGGGAUGACGUCAAAUCAUCAUGCCCUUUAUGACUUGGGCUACACACGUACUACAAUGGCGUUAAACAAAGAGAAGCAAGACCGCGAGGUGGAGCAAAACUCAGAAACAACGUCCCAGUUCGGACUGCAGGCUGCAACUCGCCUGCACGAAGUCGGAAUUGCUAGUAAUCGUGGAUCAGCAUGCCACGGUGAAUACGUUCCCGGGCCUUGUACACACCGCCC